rnacentral:rRNA from 1 species
UACGUAGGGCGCAAGCGUUGUCCGGAAUUAUUGGGCGUAAAGAGCUCGUAGGCGGCUUGUCACGUCGGGUGUGAAAGCCCGGGGCUUAACCCCGGGUCUGCAUUCGAUACGGGCUAGCUAGAGUGUGGUAGGGGAGAUCGGAAUUCCUGGUGUAGCGGUGAAAUGCGCAGAUAUCAGGAGGAACACCGGUGGCGAAGGCGGAUCUCUGGGCCAUUACUGACGCUGAGGAGCGAAAGCGUGGGGGAGCGAAACAGG